rnacentral:rRNA from 1 species
UACGUAGGGUGCGAGCGUUGUCCGGAAUUAUUGGGCGUAAAGAGCUUGUAGGCGGUUUGUCGCGUCUGCUGUGAAAUCUCAAGGCUCAACCUUGAGCUUGCAGUGGGUACGGGCAGACUAGAGUGUGGUAGGGGAGACUGGAAUUCCUGGUGUAGCGGUGAAAUGCGCAGAUAUCAGGAGGAACACCGAUGGCGAAGGCAGGUCUCUGGGCCCCUACUGACGCUGAGAAGCGAAAGCAUGGGGAGCGAACAGG